AUUGAACGCUGGCGGCAGGCUUAACACAUGCAAGUCGAGCGGGGUGAUGGUGCUUGCACUAUCACUUAGCGGCGGACGGGUGAGUAAUGCUUAGGAAUCUGCCUAUUAGUGGGGGACAACAUCUCGAAAGGGAUGCUAAUACCGCAUACGUCCUACGGGAGAAAGCAGGGGAUCACUUGUGACCUUGCGCUAAUAGAUGAGCCUAAGUCGGAUUAGCUAGUUGGUGGGGUAAAGGCCUACCAAGGCGACGAUCUGUAGCGGGUCUGAGAGGAUGAUCCACCACACUGGGACUGAGACAAGGCCCAGACUCCUACGGGAGGCAGCAGUGGGGAAUAUUGGACAAUGGGGGGAACCCUGAUCCAGCCAUGCCGCGUGUGUGAAGAAGGCCUUAUGGUUGUAAAGCACUUUAAGCGAGGAGGAGGCUCUUUUGGUUAAUACCCAAGAUGAGUGGACGUUACUCGCAGAAUAAGCACCGGCUAACUCUGUGCCAGCAGCCGCCGUAA
rnacentral:rRNA from 1 species